GAUGAACGCUAGCGGCAGGCCUAAUACAUGCAAGUCGAGCGGCAAGUUGGGUAGUAAUACUUGACCUAGAGCGGCGCACGGGUGCGUAACGCGUAUGCAACCUACCUUUUACUGGGGGAUAGCCCGGAGAAAUCUGGAUUAAUACCCCAUAGUACCUAAGGAUCGAUUGGUUUUUAGUUAAAGAUUUAUCGGUAAAAGAUGGGCAUGCGUCUGAUUAGCUAGUUGGCGGGGUAACGCCCACCAAGGCGACGAUCAGUAGGGGUUCUGAGAGGAAGGUCCCCCACACUGGCACUGAGAUACGGGCCAGACUCCUACGGGAGGCAGCAGUAGGGAAUAUUGGGCAAUGGUCGCAAGACUGACCCAGCCAUGCCGCGUGCAGGAAGACGGCCCUCUGGGUUGUAAACUGCUUUUGUACAGAACGAAAAGGUUUCUAUUAAUACUAGGAGCUCAUGACGGUACUGUAAGAAUAAGCACCGGCUAACUACGUG
rnacentral:rRNA from 1 species